AUGUACUUAGCAAAAAUAAUUAGCUAAAAAGGUGAAGUUACCAAGUGUUUCCCUUUUUCACUGUGGAUAUUAUGCCUCAAAUGAGUAUCUCUCUUUUCCAGAUUGCUGACCACUUGUUCCCCCUUUCCCAGCAACAUUUGACUGCCAAUUUCAUGCUGUUUACCCCAGCAACCCUGGAAGAUGAUGAAACUGAAGCAGACAAAGGUUAAAUGGCCCAAGAUCGUGCCACUAUCUGGAGUUUGUGUCUCUGCUGCUUCAGCUGGACCUCAAAUUCCCUAAAAAUCUCUCCAGUUGAGAAGGGGGUCUCUACAGAUGAAGACUGACGGAAAAUUCUCAGUUUUGUUGAUUAAGAGGUCAAUGAAGGACUUCCAGAGAGUACAGUUAAACUGGAGCCACUCAAACCUAAGUCGUAAAAGAUUAACGAAUGAGGAGGGAGUGAAGAAACAGAAGCAGCAGUUGUAGGCUGUUCCUUGUAGAAACUGAAAGAACUAGGUAGUCCAGUGCAUCUUCUGCUGAGUUUGGAGUCGGGAACAUCUAAAUUCAAAUCCAGAUUGAGACUCUGAGAGCCUAUGUGGGCUUAGGCAAGUGCAUAACAGCUAUCUGUCUCAGUUUCCAUAUUAAGUUUGAUAAUAAUAGCAUCUACUUUCCAAGGUGGCUGUCAGUCAGUCAAUAAACAUUUAUUAAGCAUCUACUAUAUGCCAGGCAUUGUGCUAAGUGCCGGGGACAGAAAAAGAGGUAAAAGAUAGUCUCUACCCUCAAGGAAGGCACUCAAUCUACUCUGUGCUCUACUACUAUGAGGAUAAAAUGAGACAAUAUUUGCAAAGUGUUUUGCAAACUUUAAAACAUUACAUAAAUGUUAGUUACCAUUAUUGUUAUUAGCAAAAAUCUGACAGGGAGGGUAAGGAUAAAGAUAGGACUGCAGAUUAGUGGUAUUGCAACUCUGACUGUAUUUUGGAAUAAGGAAGGACCAAACAUAUUUGUUGGAUGGGGGAAAAGAACCAUUAAAAAAUAUAUGGAAGAUAUUAAAAAAAGAGAUGAUAAUUUAUUGGCCAAAAGGCCUUUUAUUGUCUUUUAAACCUGACUUGCAUGUUCAUACAACAGGUUCAAAUAGACAAUAAAUGGAGAAACAGCAAGAAAGUGCAGUUAUUUCUUUAAAGGGAAAGUGAUAGCAGCAGCAGCCUGUCUUCUAGGCUAGCUGCCUUACCUCCAUCUAGCCAUCAUUUGGCUAUGAAUGCCUGGCAUCCUGGCUUCUUCCAUCUCUUUCCAAUUUUCUUUUUUGAUCUUGGGUGGAUAAAUAUCAAAGACAGAAUAAUAGGCUAGGUAGAUUGUGAGCAGGGAGGAAAACCAGAUGCAGUCACAUAACCUGCCUAAUUCAGUCCAGCAUUAAAUUGACCCAGCAAGUGAAGCAUUACAUCCUGCAAGCAGGUGUGGGGAAUCAUUCAUUGGCUAUACCACAGCCAGAAGGGAACUUGGUGAAAAGAAUGGUUUGAAGCAACACUGGAGAAUGUACUCCUGGUUUAGGAGCUUGUAUGUUGGUCCUCUCUAUACCUUCUCAGUAAAUACUCCUUUGUUAAAGCUA